rnacentral:rRNA from 1 species
CACUUUAGAGAGGACUGCCGGUGUUAAGCCGGAGGAAGGUGGGGAUGACGUCAAGUCCUCAUGGCCUUUACUGUCUAGGGCUACACACGUGCUACAAAUGGGUGGUACAAAGAGCAGCUAACUCGCGAGAGUAUGCAAAUCUCAAAAAGCCAUCCUCAGUUCGGAUUGGAGUCUGCAACUCGACUCCAUGAAGUUGGAAUCGCUAGUAAUCGCGGAUCAGCAUGCCCGCGGUUCCGAAUACGUUCCGGCCUU